ensembl:ncRNA lncRNA:CR44652 long non-coding RNA:CR44652
CCUGUUGACAGUUUUUUGCGUUUUCGCCUGCACUUCUGUUUGACUUGACGAAGGAGCGAGCGAGAGGGAGGCGGAGUGGGACAAGGACAGCGAGAUCCCAGCGGCGACAUCAAAGCGCGUUAUAAUUCCGAAUUAUGCAAAGCUUAGCAAACGUGGACGCAUUGUGGCGUUUACAAGCGGAAAUAAUGAAAAAUAGCGCGAGACGCGGCAUCAUUUGUCGCCUUCGCGUGGGCGAAAAUAUGGGGGCGUGGCCAAGCGGAAGCGGCAGCAGAUUGUUGCAUAACGUUGUAACGGCAACAAUACCGGAACACGGAGAUUGCAGCUGUAAACCGAAUUCGCUGUAACACCUUGACUACUUGGAAUUUAAAGGCUGCACUGUGAAAAACAUGCAACAGUUUCAGAUGACAAAUCCACCACAAAAACAUUGAUUUCAAUUAAUUGAAAGAUACUUCAAUUGAAGACACUUAAAACCAUUGCUCAAUUUUGAAUUUAAAAUUAAUAAGUUAUAUUAUUACAUUUUAUUUUGCAAUAUAUUUUAUAUUUGCUCUCUGACUUCUCUCAGUCGAAUAGAAUUAUUUGAUCAUGCUAUCAUUUGAAGUUU